rnacentral:tRNA from 2 species
UGGUGGGUAGCCAAGUGGUAAGGCGCUUAACACCCUUGUUCAUCUCUUGCCUGCAAAGGCCGAAGAAUUGAGGGUUAUCGUUUGCAAAACGAGCAUCGCGGGUUCGAGUCCCGCCCCACUAC